UACGUAGGGUGCGAGCGUUGUCCGGAAUUAUUGGGCGUAAAGGGCUCGUAGGCGGUCUGUUGCGUCAGGAGUGAAAACUCGGGGCUUAACACCGAGCCUGCUUCUGAUACGGGCAGACUAGAGGUAUGCAGAGGAGAACGGAAUUCCUGGUGUAGCGGUGAAAUGCGCAGAUAUCAGGAGGAACACCGGUGGCGAAGGCGAGUCCCUGGACAACUCCUGACACUGAGGCUCGAAAGCUAGGGGAGCAAACAGG
rnacentral:rRNA from 1 species